GUCUGCUUCUCUAAGUGAUACUCCGGCCACGUGGCGGCGGCCCUGGCUGCUCUGAAGGCGGUGGUCACUAACCUCAGACCUUGGGAUAGUGCCUGGCGUCCCUGCUGACUUUAGGGGAAAAGCCCACCCCGUGGAGGCGCAGUUGGUCAGGACCUCGGACAGGGACCCUGGCUCCAAAUCGUUAUCCGCGCCUUCUCUGGUUUUUCCCUGCUUUCCUUUCCCUCUCUUCCGGGCCAGCCUUGAGCACGAAGCCUGGGAGGCGUCGCCUGGCACCUUUCACUGUUUCAGCACCCGCAGGCAGGGCCCGAGGUGGAGGCGGGGAUCUGAGUCUGGCCUCACUCCGCCUAAGCUCUAGCUGUCCCUGGGGUCUCCUGCCAGACCACAACGUGGGGGCCGAGCUUGUGGGCCCCAGCUGGCCCCUCCUGAACAUGCGGCUAAGCUCAGCAUGGUGACACUCCUAUAACCCAGCAGCACUCGGGAGCCAGAGGCUGGAGGGUUGCUAGUUUGAAGCCAGCCUGGGGAAUAUUGCGAGCCCCUGGCUCAAAACAAAACUAAACUAAACUAACACUGUGACUGCCUCUCUGUCGGUCCUUCUGUGCAUCUGGAAGCAAGGGUGGCUGGACCACACUCUGGGAUCGAGACUGAUGAGCAACUCUAUGCGCUAGACACGGGACAUUGUCAGCGUCCUGUGCUUCAGCCCCAGCUGCCACUAGCUCUGUGCCACCAAAGGUCCAGCAACAAGAUCCAGGGCUUGGAGGGCAACAUCAUCAUCCCAGCUGUGACAAAAUACCUGAAGAAAUCAACCUCAAAGGAAAAAGGUUUUUCUUGGCUCACAGCUUCAGAGUUUCCACCCGUGAUAGCUUGGUGCUGUGACCUGUGGGCCUGUGGUGAAGAAGAAGAACAUGGCGGGGAAUGCAGAGCAAC
ensembl:lncRNA